GAUGAACGCUGGCGGCGUGCCUAAUACAUGCAAGUCGAGCGAACAGACGAGGAGCUUGCUCCUCUGACGUUAGCGGCGGACGGGUGAGUAACACGUGGAUAACCUACCUAUAAGACUGGGAUAACUUCGGGAAACCGGAGCUAAUACCGGAUAAUAUAUUGAACCGCAUGGUUCAAUAGUGAAAGACGGUUUUGCUGUCACUUAUAGAUGGAUCCGCGCCGCAUUAGCUAGUUGGUAAGGUAACGGCUUACCAAGGCAACGAUGCGUAGCCGACCUGAGAGGGUGAUCGGCCACACUGGAACUGAGACACGGUCCAGACUCCUACGGGAGGCAGCAGUAGGGAAUCUUCCGCAAUGGGCGAAAGCCUGACGGAGCAACGCCGCGUGAGUGACGAAGGUCUUCGGAUCGUAAAACUCUGUUAUUAGGGAAGAACAAAUGUGUAAGUAACUAUGCACGUCUUGACGGUACCUAAUCAGAAAGCCACGGCUAACUGCGUG
rnacentral:rRNA from 1 species